ensembl:miRNA
GUUCAGGUGGGAGGACAGGAGGCAGGUGUGGCUGGAGGAAGCAGCCUGAACCUGCCUCCCUGACAUUCCACAG